rnacentral:rRNA from 1 species
AAAAAAGAAAACCCAUAGGGUUUGGCGGUUAAAGCUCUUUAGAGAAACUCGCUUCCUAAUCGUAAAUACCCGUUAAUUUUCACUUAAUUAUUAAAGCCUUUAUACCGCCGUUAUAGAAUUAACCCCAACUUUAACUUCACAAACGUAACAUCAACAAAAUCAGGUCAAGGUGAAGCCAUUAAUUAAGAAGAAGUAAGUUACACUAAUCAAAAAUUAAGGAAUAUCCUAAAAAUAAACUACGAAAGAGAAUCUAAAAGCACCUAGAUAUUAAAAUUAUCCAUAGAAAUCAACAGCUUUAACGU